rnacentral:rRNA from 1 species
UACGUAGGGCGCAAGCGUUGUCCGGAAUUAUUGGGCGUAAAGAGCUCGUAGGCGGCUUGUCACGUCGAUUGUGAAAGCUCGGGGCUUAACCCCGAGUCUGCAAUCGAUACGGGCUAGCUAGAGUGUGGUAGGGGAGAUCGGAAUUCCUGGUGUAGCGGUGAAAUGCGCAGAUAUCAGGAGGAACACCGGUGGCGAAGGCGGAUCUCUGGGCCAUUACUGACGCUGAGGAGCGAAAGCGUGGGGAGCGAACAGG